rnacentral:lncRNA from 10 species
AAAUUAUGAGAAACUGACUAGGCAGCAUUUUUUCAAAAGCAGCUUCAAAACUAUAACAAAGACAUUUUUGGUAACCACAGCAGUAUUUAAAAAACAAAAAUUUAGGCCGGGCGUGGUGGCUCACGCCUAUAAUCCCAGCACUUUGGGAGGCUGAGAGGCAGGAGAAUCGCUUGAACCUGGGAGGCAGAGGUUGCAGUGAGCCGAGAUCACGCCGUUGCACUCCAGCCUGGGAAACAGAGCGAGACUCCGUCUCAAAAAAUAAAAAAAUAAAAAAACUAUAGUGUCCAGGGUGCACUUUAAAUGUAUUACUUUCUCAACUGAUAUGGAAAAAGUUAGCAUUUAAAGACAGAAGCUUCUGUCCAUGUAUUAAUUAGUUACCUAUCUCAACAACUUAAUAUCUGCAUGCUUUCUUACCAUUUAUGAAGAACUUUUAUAUGUAUUAUCUCAUUUGGUCUUACUGAGAAAACAGUAUUUUGCCUACAAAAUAGACAAAAUUCAAAGCAGAUUUAUCAAACUUUCUAGCAUCCCCAAAUUUUUAAAACUUCGACACAAAACUUUACAAGCAACCACAGUGGCAUGAUAUUUUCAGUGAUAAUCAAUUCACC